rnacentral:rRNA from 1 species
GAUGAACGCUGGCGGCGUGCCUAAUACAUGCAAGUCGAGCGAACAGAUGAGGAGCUUGCUCCUCUGACGUUAGCGGCGGACGGGUGAGUAACACGUGGAUAACCUACCUAUAAGACUGGGAUAACUUCGGGAAACCGGAGCUAAUACCGGAUAAUAUAUUGAACCGCAUGGUUCAAUAGUGAAAGACGGUUUUGCUGUCACUUAUAGAUGGGUCCGCGCCGCAUUAGCUAGUUGGUAAGGUAACGGCUUACCAAGGCAACGAUGCGUAGCCGACCUGAGAGGGUGAUCGGCCACACUGGAACUGAGACACGGCCCAGACUCCUACGGGAGGCAGCAGUAGGGAAUCUUCCGCAAUGGGCGAAAGCCUGACGGAGCAACGCCGCGUGAGUGAUGAAGGUCUUCGGAUCGUAAAACUCUGUUAUUAGGGAAGAACAAAUGUGUAAGUAACUAUGCACGUCUUGACGGUACCUAAUCAGAAAGCCACGGCUAACUACGUG